rnacentral:rRNA from 1 species
GCAGCCGCGGUAAUACGUAGGUGGCAAGCGUUAUCCGGAUUUACUGGGUGUAAAGGGUGAGUAGGCGGGAAGGCAAGUCAGAUGUGAAAUGCAGGGGCUCAACCCCUGAACUGCAUUUGAAACUGCUUUUCUUGAGUAUCGGAGAGGUAAUUGGAAUUCCCAGUGUAGCGGUGAAAUGCGUAGAGAUUGGGAGGAACACCAGUGGCGAAGGCGGAUUACUGGACGAUAACUGACGCUGAGGCACGAAAGUGUGGGGAGCAAACAGGAUUAGAUACCCC